rnacentral:ncRNA from 1 species
GAUAGUUCAGGGAUUUCGCCCAAUUAGAGCUGUAACUCGGGGAUAAAGCUUGGCUCUGAUGAAAAUCAGAACCGAUUGUUACGCGGAGAGCCCAACUGUUUAAUAAAAACGUAGUGUCGCGCUGUGGUAGUAUAGCCAGUGAACGCGACAUGAAUCCUGCUCAGUGCUGUGUCUGUUAAUAUGGUUCAAGCCAACGAAGCACCGGUAAAUAGCUGGGGUAACUAUGACUCUUAUCAAAGUAGCGAAAUACCUCGUCACUUAAUUAGUGACCUGCAUGAACGGAGCUAUGAGGUUCUCACUGUCCCAAACUGUCUCUCAGCGAACCAACUGUAGUGGGAACGGUCACUAGAUAUCCAGCGGGGAAAGAAGACCCUGUAGAGCUUCACUUUGGUCUAGUCUUGUAUAGUUCCUGCGGGGGUGUAGACUAGGUGGGAGAGCAAUCGAUUCUGAAAAACCACUACCCUGUUUGGAAUUAUGCUUACCUAUCACAAGGAAUAGGACUAGAUAGAAAGUUUGGCUGGGGCGGCACACCUUCGAAAGAGCAGCGAAGGUGUCCUAAGUUGAGCUCAGUGAGGACAGAAAUCUCACGUUGAGGAUAAGGCCAAAAGCUCAAUUUACUGUGCCUUUUUGUACUAGGAUCAGUUACGAAAGUAAGGCCUAACGAUCCCUAAAUAGCCUCAGGUGCGUGAGGAUUGGGGUGACAGACAAGUUACCUCCGGGACAACUGGCUUGUGGCUGCUAAGAGAUCAAAUCAACGCAGCUUUUUGAUUCUUCGAUGUCGGCUCUUCCUAUCCUAGUGAUGUACAAGUUGCUAAGGGUCGGA